rnacentral:rRNA from 1 species
UAAUACGGAGGGUGCAAGCGUUAAUCGGAAUUACUGGGCGUAAAGCGUGCGUAGGUGGUUUAAUAAGUCAUUUGUAAAAGCCCCGGGCUCAACCUGGGAAGGUCAGAUGAUACUGUUAGACUGGAGUAUAGGAGAGGGUAGUGGAAUUUCCGGUGUAGCGGUGAAAUGCGUAGAGAUCGGAAGGAACACCAGUGGCGAAGGCGGCUACCUGGCCUGAUACUGACACUGAGGCACGAAAGCGUGGGGAGCAAACAGG